GGCGCUGUGGCUUAGUUGGUUAAAGCGCCUGUCUAGUAAACAGGAGAUCCUGGGUUUGAAUCCCAGCAGUGCCU
rnacentral:tRNA from 1 species